rnacentral:lncRNA from 1 species
AAAUUUUUAUAAUUAUAUAUGUAUGACAGUACAAGUCUGUCUGUCUAAUGAGUCUAUCAUUAUUCCAGUAUUCACAUCCCAAUUCCUUCACGGUCUUGCCUCUAUUCGUCUCUCGUCUCAUCCUCUCCACCUCUCUCUCCGUCUCAGUCUCCGGCCUCCGCCUCUCACGAUCUCACCUCGACAACUAUGUUCUUCAAUCUCGACGGCCCGACCUCUCUUCCGAGUUCCAACGUCAGGUAAAUAUAUAUGGCAUACUACUAAUGUUCAAUCCCUUCCUCACACUUACGGAUCUGGAAACAGGACAUGUAAAUUAAUGUAAAUCUAGAAACAUGACGCCUUUCCUUGGAUCAAGUUGGUGAUUUUUGAAACUGGGUCUUUAUUAUUUCUUUCAAUUUUGGUGCAUAAAUGGUUGCCCGGUUAAACAAUUUGAAGAAACCGGCGCACUUAUGACUUUCUGUUGUUGAUUGUAAUUUGUAAUGUUGUAACCUGUUUAGUGUUAAGGUAACUGUUAAUUAUGGAAGCCUUUUAUUUCAGUUAUUCGGUUAUUAGCUAAUUCGAUUAACAAUUCGGAUACUAAAAAUGCGUUAAUUUCGAUUUUCAGCUAUAACCGAAUAGUUUAUUCGGUUCGGUUUGGUUAUAACCGAAUGCUCACUCCUAAUUACAAUUGUAUUAAUCAUUUAAGAUCAAGUUUACUAGCUUUAUCAAUAUUCGUGAUAUUAUAGAUUCAGUUCGACUCGAUUUACACUUCUAUGAGUGCAUUUUAAGCAAACAAAUUUCUUCUCACUUUUGAGAAGAAAGUUAAAGAAAAGAAAAUAAAACAUUCUCUUCUCUUCUCUUUUUUUUUUCUUUAAUUGAAAAACUCUCAGCCACUAUGUUAUUUUGUUAAGAAAAGAAGCUAAGGAAAAUCUAUUCGAAUAUCUCCAAUUCUUAUAUUUGUGAGUUUUUUAAGAAAGAACGAAAGAGAUUUUGAAAUAAAAUUAAUUUUAUUGUUGAGUUAAAACCUUCACCGAAAAGGUAGAGGAUUUAGAAAGACGAUUACAUAUUUUACAUUACCAAAAAUAAUAUUUAAAAUAUUAAAUAAUAGAAAUUGAUAUUUUUAUAAAUUUUUUUUGAUAUUGUCAACAUAUUAAUCAUUAAAAAUUCAACACAUCAACUAAUAAUUAUAUAUGUAAAAAUAUAAAAAAUGACGUAGAAAUAUCAAUUUCCUUAAAUAAUAUACCAUUGUUCUCUCCUCUUCACUCUGUUGAGUUCUACCGUGCUUGCUCCGCCGUUCGCUUGUCUGCCAUUAAUUUUCCGGUUUGCUGUUUUUUUGUUGAAAUCUCUGGUAAGAUCCCCAAAUCAUGUACCCUAAUUUUUUCAAAUUGAUAACUCAAAUUUGUUUUAAUCAAAUUUUAUCCUCUACUCGUUCAUCUUUAUUCAUUACCUUGUUUUCAUGAAUAUGGAUCCUCAAUAUUGUGAGGUAAAUGAAUUGAUAGCUUUUCUGAGAUUCUUUUUCCUAUGAUGGUAGUUGGGGGUUUUAGUCCUUUCGGGGUUCCAUAGAUUAAUACUCUCUGUAGAAUCCAGUAGCUAGAAAUAGUUUUACUGUCUGUGUCCUUGGAUCUAUCUCUAUUUUUGUGUUGAAUGUGGAGUUUGUGUGAAAUGUGGGAUCAUUCAAUCUCUCUCUUUUUAAUUUGUUUUCCUGUUGUGAAGGUGCAAUUAUGAAGCAGAGUCUGUGAUGUAUUGAAGCCCACCAUUAACUAUUAGCUUUAUUUUUGUUAUGAUAAAUUCAAAAAGUCAUUGUCCCAAAGUUAUUUGGUUUCACAAAUUAACUGACAAAUUAACUUUUAGCCAAAUUAACUGUCACAAAGAAAAUGACAUAGCCUUCUAUGGAAUUGGAGGAGUAUUCCGGGUAUCAAUUGUUAGAAAGUUAGGUUGGUUAUUUUUUUUUUCUUAGUUACAAUAGUGGUAUAGGGAUUCUUAUAACUAGCAUAAUAUACAAAUAGUACUAUAGUAAAUAUACUGCUGCUGCUUUCUAAAGUGAAGUUGUCCAAAAGUAUUAAAUGGGUAUGCUACAAAUAAUGUGAGCUUUUUUUGGUGUCCCUAUGGGAGUAUUCUGUAGUCAAAGUUGAUUAUAAAGUAUUUAAUAGUCAAUUUAUUUUGUACCAUUUAUUUUUCAUAGAUGUAAUUUAGAAAAAAGAAAAAAAAUCUUCAUACGCACAUUUAUGGUACACAAGACGAUAUUUUUGAGAAGGGAUGUUAUCCUCUUGACUAUUUGAUAAUUGAUAUUUCAUGUGCGUGUGCAUGUUAGAUAUGAUGUAGUAUUCUCGACUCAAUAAUAACACCUCUUGUCUAGUUCAAUGCGGGUGGCAUGUGGUACGAGGAUGUGGGGUGGGGGAGAAGGAAAAGUGAAUGGUGAAUAUAGGUUGGUUUUCCCUAAAUUAGGGCAUGUUAGGACAAGGCCUCCUCCCCCCAAAACAGGGUCACUCAUUGACAAAUGUGACCUGUCUUUGUUGUAUUCGAGUCCUGGACCAAGAGCUACUAGCUACCUUACCUGUCAUUAUUACUAAUAGUAGUAUUUAUUUUUGGCGGUGGCAGAAAUCUAUGUAUUUUGAAAGGUUUUCAUUUUCAUCAGUCACCCUCAUCUAAUCUAAUCUAAUCUAAUCUAAUCUAAUCAAUUUCAUCAUUAUUCAUUCAUUCAUGUCAUUAUUACUAAUAUAUAUAUAUAUAUAUAUAUAUAUGAUAAUCAAAUGCAUUUGAACUCUUGUAAAACCUUGUGUAUUAUAAUUAUAAUGACAUUCUUCUGUCUUGCAGACAACUUGGUAUUCUUAAAAUUGAUAGCAUAACCCAUAAAGAGGAUUAUAAUUUGAUGUAGGUAUGAGCAGAACAUUAUGUUUCUGGUCUUCGUCAUAAUUUGAUGCAGCUCUUGUCCUUCUGUUAGAAUUUUUUUUUGUGGGAGCAAAAAUAUUUGACUAUUAGAUGACCUUUUUCGUAUUGGACAGAGAAUUUAUUGUAGUCAUAAUUAGAGAAGUUAUUACUCUUCUUACGCACUAUUAUUUAGGGUUUUAUUAGGGUUCUUUUAAAUACUUAUUGUGUAAUAUAUCUACCAACCUUGUGAAUUUCUUCCUUUCUUUCUUUUUCACACCCACCCCACUCAGACUUGGAUAGAGAAAUUUCUCAGUAGUUUGAGUUUGACCCUUCUGAUCCAUUCUAUUUGUUGUUGUUGUUGUUGAGGAGGAGGAGGCAGAGGCAAGUACUACUAGCCUAGAUAUUAGGUAAUGUCACAUCACAAUUUCGUCCUUAUAUAUACACUGUAUUUUACUUGCUUUCUUUCUUUAAUUUGUUUGUGUACCUACCCGCACAGAAUACAAAUCGAUAUAAGUAUAUGUGAAAGAUGCCAUCUUUAUCUUUUCCCUCUUCAUUCAUUUCAUUUCGUUUGCAGAUUUCCAGGAUUUGAUAUACUCCUUUCUAACUAUAUAGAAGAAGGAGAAGAAGAAUGGCUCAGCUUUGUUGCUCUCCUCUCCCCAAUCACUACCACCAUCUCAACCCAAAUCGCGCCAUUUCCCCUCUUCCUGAUUAUAACAAUCUCACUUUCUCUUCCUUCUCCCUACCCUUCUUUGCUCCAUCUCUCUCCAUCUCUCCUUUUCCAACUAAUCCAUUCAACUUGCCCAAAUCCCAUAUUCCUUGAUAGACUCCACGGCACGCUUGCGUGAGGUGGUUGUUGCCCGGAUCGUUUCUAGCACAGUUGUUGGGUGAAUUGCUUGCAAUAUCUUAACCCCUCGUCUAUACUUUAGACGGUAAUCUUGGUACAAUUGCUCGCGUUCGGAAUCUGCGUUUAAUGGACAUCAACAACACCUUGACCCCUCGCUUAUAUUGAAGCGGUAAUCUCGAUACAAUCGACGAUUGAUGCGGUAGAAGACGCCACACACAACUAUGAACUGUUGUAUGAUAAGUCAAAUUGAAUCUCAAAGAAAUUACUAAGAAAAUACUAUUUUCUUAGGAAUUCUUCAAAGAACCAAAAGUAGAGAAUAAACUCACAAAUAUAUUGAAGAAUGAAUAAUGUGUUUGAUUACAUCAACUUAGACCUCUAUUUAUACUACUCAAAACGAUUCAAAUCCUAAUAGGAAUUUAUAAACUAUAACCCUAAUAGAAGUCAAUUUGGAAAAGAAUUCUAAUUAAAAAAAGAAGUCCUAAUUACAAUAGAAUUAUAAAAAUCUAAAAAUCAUUGCUGAAUAUGUAAUUCGUGGGCUUAGUAAGAGCAGAAUUGGGCUUGUAUUAAAUUGACCCAAAUUUGUGUCUCAUCCUUCUCUUUGGGUUUCCUUGUGUUAGCUUCAGCCCAAACAUCUUGGAUCAAUCCAUUGAGAUCUUGUUUGAACCUUUUAGUUCUAGCCUUCCUUGAUCCCCACGUCCCUUUAGUCUUGUUUGGGUCCAUGCAUGCCAUGUCCUCAUCAUUCCUCUCCUCUUGAAAAGGAUUUGUCCUCAAAUUGUCACCUACAUCAAACGGACUUAGAUCAGUAACGUUAAAUGUGGUACUAACAUUAUACUCAACUGGCAAAUCCAAUUUAUAGGCAUUGUCAUUGAUACGCUUGAGAACUUGAAAUGGACCAUCUCCCCUCGGAAGCAAUUUCGAACGUCUUUGAACGGGGAAUCUUUCUUUCCGUAUAUGUAACCACACCCAAUCUCCGGGUUCAAAGAUCACUUGAUGUCGUCCCUUGUUCGCGUGCUUAAUGUACUGUUCCGUCCUCCGUUCAAUCCGUUCACAAAUAUCGAAUCAUGAUCAUGCUUAGACCUAGGUAAACCCAACACAAAGUCCAUAGAAAGAUCAAUCCAAGGUUCAUUAGGAAUAGGCAAUGGUGUAUACAAUCCAUAGGGUUGAACACAAGAUUUAGCUUGGCGACAAGUAGUUAUCACAUAUUCUUUCCACAUCUCGUUUCAUAUGAGGCCAAUAAAAAUGUUCUUUCAAAAUAGUAAAAGUUUUAUCAACGCCAAAAUGUCCCAUUAAACCACCCCCAUGUGAUUCCCUAACCAACAACUCACGCAAAGAACAUGCAAGAAUACAUAAUUUAUUUUCACGAAACAAGAAUCCGUCAAUUCUAAAGUAUUUACCCACAACAUUCUUUUCACAAAUUUUAAACUCUUCACCGAAAUCAAGGUCAUUAUCAUAUAACUCUUUAAUUCGUUCAAACCCAAUCAAUUUCGUAUCAAGAGUAUUUAACAAAACAUACCUGCGAGACAAAGCAUCUGCAACGACGUUCUCCUUACCUUGCUUAUAUCGAAUAACAUAUGGAAAUGUCUCGAUAAAUUCCAUCUAUCGUGCAUGCCUUUUGUUCAACUUGUGCUGACCCUUAAAUUUUUCAAUGAUUCAUGAUCGGUGUCAGUGGAUCACAAACUCCUUAGGCCACAAGUAAUGUUGCCAUGUCUCCAAAGCUCUAACCAAAGCGUACAUCUCUUUGUCAUAUGUAGGAUAGUUCAAAGCUGCCCCACUCAACUUUUCGCUAAAAUACGCCACUGGUUUCCCUUCUUGCAUCAACACAGCUCCAAUCCCUAAACCUGAAGCAUCACACUCAAUCUCAAAAGUUUUAGCAAAGUUAGGCAAAAUAAGUAAAGGAGCAUUUGUCAAUUUAUCCUUAAUCAAAUUAAAUGCUUUUUCCUGUUCA